GAUUUGUAUUCUCGAUUAGAUCUCAAAUGAUCGAUCGUUUAUGCAAAACAAGUAGAACUGACAGAUUUGUUUCGUUUCGUAAUUUGUCCGUCGCAGUGGCUCCCACAGUCGUCUUCUGGGACGUGGAUGACUUCCCUAUCCCAACUGGUCGACCUUAUAUUAAGACGGUUAUCAUGGAGUGGUGUCAAUCUACGCUUACAGUGAGAAGAAACCGGACGAUCUGGAUGAUGGAAUCACCUUCGUACUCAAAAGGCAAAAAUAUUGGCGACUUCAUAGGAUGUUGUUGGACAUCUCUUUAUGGGCAUUGGACAGAUCUAUGCCCACUCUCUCCCGAGAAAAUAUGAUGUUUAGCGCAGUUAACAUCAAAGAAGAAAUCACUAUAACCCCAGUUUUUCAAGGUCUGUAUGGUACUUGUAAUAUUCUCUUCGUUCUGCCUGAUGACUACAACGAGAGGAAUGUGAAACUUCCGUAUACAAAUUUUAUAUGGACUUGGGAGAGUCUGAUUAAUGAAGGAAAGCCUAUGGACCAAAGCCUUGUAUUUGAAUUGCGUAAGAAGUUUCACACUGACGAAGAUGAUGCCUAGCCCAGAUGAUGUGGUACAAUACCUCACUCUUUCUUUCCUGUCAGGAAUAAUGUAUCUAAACUAAUGUUUUAUCAUUCUCCCUUUGUAUGUCCGUUUUUGUGUGUUAGAGACACCAUGAGUGUCUCUUUCUGCAGUUUACUCUCUGUUUGUGUUUUAGAAACAAAGCAGAGUUCUAAAGAAGAACGGUGAAGGGACAAA